AACACACUAGCGCGUGGGCCUCGUGCGGCUGCUGGCCCACUUGCUCACCUAACCUUAUCUCUUCCCCACGCUCACCCAGCCUUAUCUCUUCCUCACGAGACUCCUCAACCAUUCGUUCUCCACCGCCGCUCUAUCUUUCUGUCUCUCUCAAUCCAAUUCAAGCAUGGCGACUGCAAGCAAGCUCAGUUUUGUGAGUUCUUGGCCACAUUGCUGGGUUGCGUGGGGUGACGAUGCUGCAACACCAGGUGGGCGCCGACGGGCCUGAUGGUGGUGCGGGGGACGCACCCAUGGAUGCUAGCGAGAGCUACAACCAUGGCAGCUAGAUGCUGGAACCCGCACAAAUUUUUGUUUCCAUCGGCGUUUUAUUUUUUUGCCGAAACUAGCGCCGUUUUUGAAGGUUUUGCUACCACCGAUUUGUUUUUUGCUGGAACCAGCAUCAUUUUUUUGCUACCAUCGGAUUUUUGAUUUGCUGGAACCUGCCCCUCGACUUUGCAUCUUUGUUACCACCACCGCGGCCAGAUGCUGGAAUCCGCACAAGUUUUUGCUUCCAUUUAUGUUUUGGUUUUGCUGAAACUAGCAUCAUUUUUUGUAUUUUUUGCUACCACCAUUUUGUAUUUUGCUGGAAUCAAUGUCAAUUUUUGCUACCACAGGAUUUUUGAAAUGUUGGAACCAGCCCUCAAUUUUGCAUCUUUGCUACCACCGGCGUUUUGGUUUGCUGGAAUAAGCUUCAAUUUUUGCUCCCAUCAGGUUUUGUUUUGUUGGAAUGGCGUCUGAUUCCCGUUUUUUUUGCUACCACCGUUAUUUAAUUUGCUGGAACCAGCGUCAAUAUUUGGUACCAUUGCCGUUUGGUGCGAGACCACGGAGUCGUCGCCAUUGUUUCUGCAGGAGGGCGAGGGAGGGGGAUGGGCUGCGCCGGUGAGGUGAAGUGAUUUUUUGCUGGAACUGGCAUGAUAUUUUGCUACGACCCGUGAUUUUUGUUGUUACUCGACGACGGGGUGCUGUGGCCAUCUCCACAGGGGUUGUAAUGGCCGAUAAGCGCGGGCGGCCAAGGAUGCGGCGGCCCGUACGUUGCCGGCGAGCAUGAGGCCGAGGGCGAACGUGGGGCGGCCAAGGAUGCGGCGGCGAGCGCGGAUUGCAUGCGAGCACGAGGCCGAGGACGAGCGCGGGCGGCGCAAGUAGAAGGCAAGCGCGGUGCCGUGGGAAAGCUGCGCGAGAUGGCGAGAUGCGGGAAGCUGCGCGAGCGCGAGAUGCGUCAGGACAAAGACGUCUGGGGUGAACCCUUUUUUUUUACUAUAUCCAACGGUCAGGGCUAGUGGCAUCCGGUGGCUAGGGCGCGACCGGCCCAAAUUUGGGCCGGCGCGCCGGCGCCUAGCUUUGCCCUAAAAAUAAGGUCAAAAUUGUGUUAAAGUUUUCUGCAGCGGCCACUUGGUGCUGAACUUUCUCAAAAUGGUUAAAUAUGUGAUUUCAGCUAGGGGCAAAAGGCUACUUGGUCUCAAAGUCAUGGCUAAAGAAUGGUGCCAAAGAGUUGGGGUUUGGGGAUUUUGCUGCAAUCAAAAGGAGAAAUACUUACCC
rnacentral:rRNA from 1 species